rnacentral:rRNA from 1 species
AUUGAACGCUGGCGGCAGGCCUAACACAUGCAAGUCGAACGGCAGCACAGAAGAGCUUGCUCUUUGGGUGGCGAGUGGCGGACGGGUGAGUAAUGUCUGGGAAACUGCCCGAUGGAGGGGGAUAACUACUGGAAACGGUAGCUAAUACCGCAUAACGUCGCAAGACCAAAGUGGGGGACCUUCGGGCCUCACACCAUCGGAUGUGCCCAGAUGGGAUUAGCUAGUAGGUGGGGUAAUGGCUCACCUAGGCGACGAUCCCUAGCUGGUCUGAGAGGAGGACCAGCCACACUGGAACUGAGACACGGUCCAGACUCCUACGGGAGGCAGCAGUGGGGAAUAUUGCACAAUGGGCGCAAGCCUGAUGCAGCCAUGCCGCGUGUAUGAAGAAGGCCUUCGGGUUGUAAAGUACUUUCAGCGGGGAGGAAGGCGGUGAGGUUAAUAACCUCGCCGAUUGACGUUACCCGCAGAAGAAGCACCGGCUAACUCCGUGCCAGCCGCCGCCGUAAGAC